AGGGUGGGAAGGCCUACCCUGAAUGGGGGCGGCACCAUUACCCAGCUGAAUGGGGAUGGUACUAUUGCCCUAAACGCGGUGAAGGUUGCUGGCCGUAGGGCAAGCACACAGAGAGCGUGGCUGCUUGUGCUUCUCUGCUCUUGACCGUGGCUGCCUCGGACUUGCCCCAGUGAUGGACUGUAGCCUGGAAAUGUAAACCAACGUUGUACCCUGGCCCAGAGUUGCCUGGGUGGCUUCUUGCCAGGCUGUUUGUUUCCAGCCACAGACGGGAGACCAGAGCAGAACCAAAGCAAGAAGUAAUCCGGGUGAAAAAUGGACGUCUCUCACAGAUAGCCAGCAGACGUUUUAAAGAAUCCUCGGUGUCACCACCAGGGAAAUGCAUCGCGAAACCGCAAUGACAGAUCGAGUCACACUGGCUGGGAUAGCCAUUGUCCACAUCAGGAGACACGGAGGACUGACAAAGCGAUGGAGGAAACACACACACACACACACACACACACACACACACACACACACACACACACACACACGACACCAUUGGCGGGAAUGCUCGUCAGUACAGCCCUGUUUGUGCUGUCCGAAGAGUUGAAGUACCAAGACCACAUCCUGCCCAUAUGUUUUUAAACUUUUCCUAAUAUAUAUAUAUAUAUUAAAGAAAAUAUGGUCAAGA